rnacentral:rRNA from 1 species
UAGGGAAUCUUCGGCAAUGGGGGCAACCCUGACCGAGCAACGCCGCGUGAGUGAAGAAGGUUUUCGGAUCGUAAAGCUCUGUUGUAAGAGAAGAACGUGUGUGAGAGUGGAAAGUUCACACAGUGACGGUAACUUACCAGAGAGGGACGGCUAACUACGUGCCAG